GUUUCUGAAAUCAAGGUGAAAAUUGUAAAAUUAUGCAAUCGAAUGAUCGAGCAAAAUGGAGGAGGUUGUGAGGAUGAGAAGUUAAUGAUAGAAGGAAAGAUGGUCGGGUUCACGGGCAGAGGAAGACCGCGUAAUGAAUUUCAAACGUUCACAAUCAGAAACUCAUCUUCGUGCAUGGAAUACUGAUCGAGCUGCACUGUUCUGGCCUCUGUGACUUUGUUCUUUACAAACGGAACACGUGUCACCAAAAACGAGUCAACCAUUGAAACACGCGCUAUUACGAGGUCCUUGCCAGACCAUUUAUCAUUUUGGAGGUUAACUUCCAAAUCUUCAAAAGAGGUAGACAGCGUUCAAAUUUUACUUUCGCCCACCGAGGCAAGAAAAGCGAAGCGACACUCAAGGCCGUCAGAGCGAAUCUGGUCGCCCGAGUUCGCAAACUGGUCGUCGUAAAAAAAGGAGAGAAAGAUAGAAUUUCACGGUAGUCCGUAAAUGUGUUUUGGAUAGCGUUGUUUCCACAUAGUUCCACUUUUCCCCGGUUCGCCAAAGGUGUAAUUAGCCUGGUCAAAGCUCCCGACCGAAUGUUAUUUUAAUGAAAUCUCUAGACCACUGUUACUCAAUCAUUUCGAGUCGUGAAUGUCUCUCAUUGGAUGUUAAUAUUAUAACCAUUAGUGGACUUGAAAAUGUUUAGGAUGAAAUGUUUUCUAGUAAUGAUUAAUCUGCAGGAACGUUUCUUUAGAAUUCGCGGUCUCAAGAAUCUAGACGAUAAAGAAAUUAAUCUGAUUGAUUAGAAAGAAUGUGGAAAGAACGUGUACCAAGGAACAGGAUAUUCUACGUUUUGCAAUUACCCUUUAUAAUCCACGUGAACGCACGUACCACUUGGUCAAGAGGCGAAACAACCGCGAUCUUCGACUUUCUACGAGAAACUUGCGUGCGAUUGCUCCACGAAUUUUCGAAUACAAAACUAUGUUCUAGCAAACGCGUAAUAUCAAUUACAUUAACUAUUAAGGAAAAAUAAAUUGGAAAAGCUUGUAUUUGCUGAGCAAACGAAUCUGUUCAAGUAAGUUGAUCGCAAACAACUUUGUCGAGUUACAAAAGAAAUUAACCAAACAGUCGUUAAGUGAUCUCACGAACAUAAUUACCUGAGACAAUCUAUGAAAAAUGAAACAUGUAAAUACUGUAUUUCAUUACUUUUAAUCGUCGCAAAUGAUCCGAAAGUAUAAUUGGGAAUAAAAAGUAUGAUAAAUUAUA